rnacentral:sRNA from 1 species
UAUGAAGGCGGGCUGGAACCUCUCGGGGUUACAGCCUUGCUGAAUUAUUCACCCUUGUCUUUUGCGUACUUCUUGUUUCCUUGGUGGGUUCGCCCACCACUAGGACAAACAUAAACCUUUUGUAAUUGCAAUCAGCGUCAGUAACAAAUUAAUAAUUACAACUUUCAACAACGGAUCUCUUGGUUCUGGCAUCGAUGAAGAACGCAGCGAAAUGCGAUAAGUAGUGUGAAUUGCAGAAUUCAGUGAAUCAUCGAAUCUUUGAACGCACAUUGCGCCCUUUGGUAUUCCAAAGGGCAUGCCUGUUCGAGCGUCAUUUGUACCCUCAAGCUUUGCUUGGUGUUGGGCGUCUUGUCUCUAGCUUUGCUGGAGACUCGCCUUAAAGUAAUUGGCAGCCGGCCUACUGGUUUCGGAGCGCAGCACAAGUCGCACUCUCUAUCAGCAAAGGUCUAGCAUCCACUAAGCCUUUUUUUCAACUUUUGACCUCGGAUCAGGUAGGGAUACCCGCUGAACUUAAGCAUAUCAAUAAGCGGAGGAA